rnacentral:lncRNA from 1 species
GUGUUAAAAAGAAAAGAUAUUUGAUAUAAAAAAGAGUGACUUGAGUUUUAUUUAAACAUAAGGAUAAGGAUAAGGAAAAGGUGAUGAAGGGUAAGUAAUCCUCCCUCCAACACUAAAACAAAAUGAAAAUUAUGAUAUAUGUCACUCACACCUUCAACUAACAUCGACCAAAGUUGGGCAGUCCACAAAGAGCGAGAGUUCUGUUGAGGCUAUCGUUGAUGUCAUCAUCGUUGAGGUUGAGGCCAGUGUCCCUGGUGAUGUGAGGGAGGAAAGAUCUUAUAAGAUAGCAAACGCAACUACCAGCUUCAGCAGCACCUAUCCUGACAAGGAUCUCGCAGCAGGGUUCGAAAGGGUUUUGGAACUCCUCUACAUCAUGCACAACCUUGAACGCACAAUUCUUAAAAUGAUGACAUGUUUGAGAGGUGACGAUUGAGAGUGAGAGGAGAUUCAGAGAGAGGAAUAGACCAACACAAACACUACCCUUCAAACCCAUUUCACUCAACAAACCUAAUUCCUUCACCACACUUUCUUACACUUCUCUAUGUAGAUCGAUUCUGAAUGAUC